CAGCAGCCGCGGUAAUACGUAGGUGGCAAGCGUUGUCCGGAAUUAUUGGGCGUAAAGGGCUCGCAGGCGGUUUCUUAAGUCUGGUGUGAAAGCCCCCGGCUCAACCGGGGAGGGUCAUUGGAAACUGGGAAACUUGAGUGCAGAAGAGGAGAGUGGAAUUCCACGUGUAGCGGUGAAAUGCGUAGAGAUGUGGAGGAACACCAGUGGCGAAGGCGACUCCCUGGUCUGUAACUGACGCUGAGGAGCGAAAGCGUGGGGAGCGAACAGGAUUAGAUACCCCAGUAGUCCCUGUCUCUCAUAC
rnacentral:rRNA from 1 species